AUCUGCAUAGAAAGAUUGAAGAAUGAAUGUACACCUAUAAAUUUUAAGUUAAAAUAAAAUAUCAAGGCGUAUAUAUAUAUUUUGGAGGUUCUACUUUAUCUUUUUCAAAUAAUUGACUGUCAGAAGGUAUCAACCGACCCAGACAAAGAGGGCUUUUACUCUGAUCACAAACCUCAUGAAACUGAAUGUGGGACAUGACGUAAGGAGAGGUAAGUUGUUCAGGACCAAGUGAUUUCUCUUCCCAAGGUCUCAGUUUCAUUUUCUCUGAAAUGAAAGGAUUGAACCUAAUCAACCUGAAAGUUCUUUCUAAUUCUAAUGUUUUGUGUUUCUGGAUACCAAUUUGGCCAAAGUAAAGACAUUUCCUGUUACCUGUUAGAUGGCUUUUCAGUCUCCUGUACUUCUAUCAGCUAUACUUUUUGAACAUGGUAUUGGCCCUAGGAUAUUUAUUUGAGUUCAUCCUGGUCUCCUGUUAAUCAUUCAAGAUACACUUGUUUGGAAGAGAGAUCCAGGUUGAGUUGAGUUUGGUUUAGAUCCAUAUUAGAGCAGGUUACUCCCUUGGUUAAGGUCUUUCAAGAGCUCAUCCUUCAAUACAGGCCUUCAUGCACAUUCCUUAGUAUGCAUCUAAGUUUUUGCAUAAUCUGGGCUCUGCAGAGUAUUUCAGCCUGACUCUAUAAACUUUUAUUACUGAACUGAUUUGAUUUUCCUUAUUCCAAGGUGCUGUUUAUACUUCUGAGACUUCAUGCAUACUGCUUCCUCUGACUAGAAUGUUAAUCUGUUUCUUGUUUUUUGCUGGUUAACUUCCAUAUGUUUUUAAAGACUUAGUUUUGUUGCUUCUUUCUGUAGGGAACUUUACCUGAUUACGGAAGUCCAACCCAGGCACUUCUUCUAACGUCUUUCUUAGCAAUCUCAGUUUACUACCAACAUUUUAAUAUUCCACAACUUGUCUCUUCCACUAACCUGUAAUAUCCUAGAAGAAAAAGACUAAAUCUAUGUUUGUUCCAGAAUCUGUACAUUUUGCAGCACGGGGAAGUAGUUCAAAAAUGUUUGGUCAAAUGCACUGUUGUAAACAUGGGAGUUUGUAGCUGUUUAUGAAAAAAAUGUCUAGACUUCAUGGCUUAAAACUUUCACUUUGUGCAUGAAGAAACUGAGUUCCAGAUAAUUUCAUGGCUUUGCCAAUGUUUAUUACUAACCCUAGAGGCUACAGUUUGCCCUACUGUGUCUUGUCCUUAGCUUUCCUCUCUGGGAUAUACAAAUUCAAGAGCAUCUGGCCCACAAACUCAUAGGAGAUUAUAGCUAUUGAAUAAGAGAUAAAAAUUAAUAUAAUGAGAAUGGGUACUGGAAUGUUUCUACCCCAGCUCAGAUUCCAAAAAUGAACAUAGGCUAUGGCCUAGUGAAUAAGCCUUUGCCUAAUUUAUCAAGUAAGCAUCCUUCUGUCUAUACCCAAGAAUAGCCAUCACAGGUCAUAAUUGAGGAUAUGUCUUGAUGUUUCCCUUUAAAGUCUCAUCCAGUGCUCAUCUUCUCUUGCUAUGGGGGUUUGAAUCCUUGUGAUAUAUAGCCAAUUAGCACUUAAAUGUUUUAAUCUGGAUAAAAAUUCUGCUGAUAUUAACCGCUAGGUAUCCUUGAGGUUAUUUCAAGUUCAAAGAUUCUAACUCUGACUAUCCAACUACACCCCAAUCCUAAAUGGAAAGUUAUAAAAUGUUUUAGUAGAAGAGAAUGAAAGACAUUAUUGAGUAUAGAAUUAAUCAUUAAAAAGGGACUGCUCAAAAGGAUAUUAAAGGGAGAAAAUGAUGAGCAAGGCAAGUUUAAAAACAUGUAAUCCUUACAGGUAUAUGUUUCUUAAGCUUGGUAUUCAGAAAAGUUGGAGAUAAUUUAUUUUUCUAAACUGAUACAUUUUUGAGAGUGGAAAAGAGGACUGCUAAUAAAAGCACAAGCCAAACCAGGACUGCCCUUGUAAAACCAGGACAUAUGGUUACCCAGAAAUACUCACCUCUCUCCAGUUGUAGUUUCGUUGCUUCAAGAAUGUUCUAGACAAGCCAUGUGCCCAAUAGUUGGGCUGAGAGUGUCAGAUGAGCUUCUCAUUUGGUUUUCUCAUACUGUUCUGGUCCUAAUACUGCAUUACACCAAACUCCUCUCACACAGCUUCUCAUUUGCCUUGCCUUUCCCAUUGGAAAGAUAUUUGACAUUCUUAGAUCUCUACUUCUUGGCUGCAUGUGACUUGACUCUUCCAUUUGUUAUAUGAUUUCUGACUCCAGUGAUUCACACUAUUUUUGGUGGCAUUCUAGGUUUCAGGGGUUUCAUAGAUGUUAGAUUUUCCUUUAAGUUUUAAAAGAUAUAUUGUCUGCCUAUAAUUAUUUUGGCUGACCCAGGGGAUGAGAAAGGCUGUGUGUGAAGAUGACUUGCUCCCAUCUUCCAUUAGAGCAGGUGUCCCUUCUUCCUCUGGCAGAGAUUCCUAUCACGUCAUUGUGGGCAUUCAUCUCCAAUGCUGCCAGCCUGUUCCCAAGCCCCUGGGUAUGAGGAGGCAAGGAGCCUGGCGCUGGACCUGUGCUGCAACUACAUUAUGAUGAGUGUCCACCAUGCCCUGGGCCUUACUCAAUGCUUAGGGAGGAUAACCCUGCUUUUACCUGUUUUAAAUAUUUAGUUUGAAAAGACUUUAACCAUUAAAUUUGCUUAAAAACCAUGACUCUAGCUUACACCUCAGUAAUUGACUUUCCUUUUGUUUUAGCGCCCAGGCUCACUCUCUAUGUCUGAGGUUGGCAGCUUCUGAAAUAACUUCCAAUGAUCCCUACCUCUGGUAUUUAUAAUCUUGUGUAUUCCCUCUCUGUGAUUAUGGGAUGGACCUGGUUGUUUGCUUUUAACAGAUAGAAUACUACAGCAAAGGCAAUAGGGUGUUACUUCCGAGAUUAAGGUACAAAAGGCUUGAGUUACUUGAGUCUUGCUACCACGCUCUUUUCCUCUCCCUUGCUCUGAUGAAGCCAGUUCCUAUAUUGUGGGCUGCCCUCAAAGAUAACCUCAUGAAAAGGAACCAAGAGAAGCCUCAGACCAACAACUCAUGAGGAAUUGAGACCCUCAGCCCAACAGCCCAUGAAGAACUGAAUCCUGCCAACAAGAUCAGUGAGCUUAGAAGUGAACCUGUCCCCAGAGGAUUAAAAACAUUCCUUUUAGAAUUUUAUAACUUAAUAAGUAGGUCUCUCUUAUUUUUUAAAUCCAUGUUAUUGAGUAAAAUCUCACAGCUGAAGGCAUGACAUCCUGGCUUUGCCAGGGAGAAUUGGACCUGGAAGUGAGCCAAGUGAGGCUGCAGCCAGUGCGGGUCCACCUUCUGCACAGAGCAGUGGUGGGAAUGGUUAUCUUUGGAGGAAAACAUGAUGGAGGCUGCUGUGUCCAGUUCUGAUUCUUUGAGAGACGAGCAGUUCAGAGGAGUCUAAUGCUCCUGCUCCUUCCUUCAACUUGGAGACAUGGGCAGGUAGAACUAAAGUGCAGUUUGCUAGAAACACAACACUGUUCUGGGUGAAUGAUGGUUCUAUACAGGAUAAUGCCUUUCUGAGGCUGGAGCACUGGCUUUGAGACUUCCCCAUUCAGUCCAAGUUGGACCAAGCAGGCCUGUGUCAGACAAGGACAAUGAAUCUAAGGCAAUCUAACGACUCCCUGUCGUUAAAAGAGUAUUCAUGUACUACCCAGCACUGUCUAUGCUCCGGUGAACAUGAUACUUCACUGUUACCCUUUCUAUAGGGUUAUGGCAACCACCCCAGUUUCCAGGAUGUAGGACUCUCACUACUAAAACCAAGAGAGCCCCAGCAACUUGGGACGGUAGUCACGCUAGCAUAGCAAAGCAUUAUUAGGUAUGCUCUGUGCUGAGUGCUUUACCUGAUUUAUCUCAUGCAUUUCCUCUGCCACUUCUGAGGAAGACUGUUACUUGUUCCCAUUUUAUGGAUGAAUAUAGCCAGGCAAAAACACGUUAGCUAACUUGCCUAACAAAAUGUUAAUGUCAAUUCUCUUUGGCCAGUGAGUGUCCAAGUGAACUUUACUGUUUUUCCAUACAUUGUUUAUUAAAUAAACAGGUAUUAUGCAAUAAUAUUAAAAGAAAAAAAAAACAUUAACCUAUUUUCCUUGUGGGAAAGUAAGUAAUUUACCAACGUCAUGUGUUUAAUGAGUUGAGUCUGGAAACUGCAUUGAUGAAUUCCUUACCACUACAGCAGCAGGAUAGGCUUAGAGAAGAAAUUCCCUCAUUUUAAUAAGGUCUUUCUUGUUCUUUGGACAAUUUCUAUCCUUACCUCUGACUGCCUUAGAACCAACCUAUGCAGAAUUCUCUAUAAUGAAGAAUGUUAGAAUGAGUUUUCUUUGUGUAAUAGCUUCCCAACUAGGCAGAGUACUCUCUUUUGCAGUGAGCAAAUUUCUUUUUAGCUACAAGAUGCCUGAUAUGAAAGUCUUACUCUUAAUUAGCACCCUGGGGCAAGUGCUGAUAAAAUUCUGUUUCUCAUGAUUAUGGGAGAGUAUGUGGAAACCCAGCGGAGGGCUCCUAAAUUUCUUUAUUUUAUCACCAGGGCUGUCCAUCCCCUGCUGUCUUGCACAUCUGUGCAGUUCAAGUUGCUGCCUCAGAGAGAAAGGGCAACAAGGAAGGUUGGUCAAGUGACCCCCCAAUGGAAGAGGGCAGAGGAGGCUUUGAGCUCAGCUGGGCUGAAGUCCUGAAACUUACUUGGGAAAUAACUCUUUUCUAUACCUUCAAGGUUUGCCAUGAAUGUUCCAAAUUUAUGCUCAUCCUAAAGCAAGUUCCUCUGUCUGUUGUUUCCCCUUAAUAAGCCUCAAGCAUUUAAGUGGUUUGGAAAUCUCCUUGCAGUGAUUCUCCCACUUUGACUUGGACACACUCAUGGCACUGGUUUGUUGGGCAGCACAUGGGUAUAGUGACUGAGAUUCUGGAAACAGACCAGCUGAGUUUGAAUGCCAACUCUGGCCUCUUUUAGCUAUGUGACUUUGAGUAAUUCAGUUCAUCCCUCUAAGUGUAAAUGUUCUUAUAUAUAAAAUGGGAUAAUUGUUAUACCUAACUCAUAAGAUUGAUGUCAGGAUUAAAUAAUACAAGGUACAUAUAUUACCUGCUACAGAGUAAAUGUUCAAUACUUGUGUUUUCACCUGGAUUUAACAGGGGCAGGCAGGAAUCAGAGGAAGCAUGAACUCACAGGCAUGAGCUCAAGCUCUCAUCCAUGAGUUUUCAUGAAGGGUAGAUCACAAGCAGGCUGGAACUGCAUGGUUAUGUUCAUGAUGUUUGGGGAAGCCUCAUUUCUGCUUUUAAAGUCUUCCAAUGGAUAAAGUUAGAACCAUCCAGGAUCAUCUCUCUUACUUAAAGUCAACUAAUUAGGGGCUUUAAUUACAUCUGCCAAAUCUCUUUACUCCACUACCUAGAUUAGUGUGUUUGGCUGAAUAACCAGACCCUAUAACUAGCCAAUAUGAUGCCCCAAAAAGCCAUCCCCAACUUUUAGCUGUGAUAAUUUAUAAUAGUCUCUGUGUCCCCCGUGACAAAUUACCACAACCUUGGUAGCUUAACAGAAAUAUAUUAUUUCACAGUUCUGGAUGCCAGAAGUCUGAAACUAGAAUCACUGGGUUGAAAUCAGUGUGUCAGGAGAGUGACAUCCCCUCUAGAAGCUCUAGGGAAGAAUCAGUUUCUUGCCUCUUCUACAUUUUGGUGACAGCAGCAUUCCUUGGCUUGUGGCCACAUUGUUCCAACCUCUGACUCUCUGGUCACAUUGCUUUCUCCUUCUCUAGGUAUGUCAAAUCUCCCUCUGUCUCUUUCUUAUAAGGAUACUUGUGAUUACAUUUAGAACCUAGCCAAAUAAUCUUGGAUCUUCAGACCUUUAAUUUAAUCUUGUCUGAAAAGACAUUUUCCAUAUAAGGUAACAUUUACAAUUUCCAAGGAUGAGAACCUAAUAUUUUUGGGGACCAUUAUUUAGACUACUACAUCACUUCUCAUGUAUUUCUGGAAGCCUGCUUUGUGCCAGGGACUUUGCCACGCUGUUCCGAAUGCGAAGAUGGAAUAGUCACAGUCUCUUCCUUCAAGGGCCUGACGGGUAACAAACAGAGAGUCUUCAGGUACAUGAGUAGCCUAGCAGUAAUACCAAGAGGCAAGUCCAAGUGCAUCUGGAUGGUUAUUUGUGAUGUGGUGAAGGAUCUUAGAGGAGAAAAGAGAUCUCUUUCAACUAUGAAGAACCAGGAAGGUUUCAUGAAGAAGAGAGCAUUUAAGAGAUCUUAAAGGAUAUGAUUGUCUAGAGCAAUCCUUUUCAAAUUUGGGCAUGUAUAACAUCACCUAUGAAGCUUCUUAAAACACAGAUUGCUGGGCUUUGUCCCAGAAUUUCAGAUUUAAUAGGUCUAAAGUAAGGGCUAAGAAUGCACAUUUUAAACAAAUUCAGGGUUGAUGGGGAUGCUGCUGAUCUGGAGACAACACUUUGAGAACCACUGUUCAAUACAUGUAAAGAUAAUGGUGGGAGGGGAGAUAGCUCUUUCCUUUCUUGAAUUAAUUUAGAUACAAUUUAGAGGUCACUUUCUCAGAGAGCGCUCCUCCUUGAAAACAGAAGAAAGCUUGUCACAUUAAUUUGCCCUGCUACAUUUCUUCAUAUUAUUUAUCGUCACUAUUGAGGGGGUGGUUUCUGUCUCUCCUGCCAGAAGGUAAGCUUCACGAGGAUACAAACUGUCUCUUUUAUUCACAGCACUUAGAAAAGUGGUUAGCACAUGGUAGGUGCUCAAUAAAUAUUUGUUAAGGAAAGAACGAAUGAUCUUAGGUCUCAUGUAGCUUAAUGUUUGUUAACUCCUCUAACCUUAUUCCUUCAACACUAAACCAGUCACUUCAUCCACAAUUAUUUAAAUAGAAUUAAAUCAGUCAAGUUGGCUUUUCAAGAGGACUUUUUCAUUUUUUUCAAAAUGUUCUAGCUGACACAGUCUAUGUAGAGCUGAAGAUAAUUUGGACUUAACUUAAGCAGUGAAGAAAUGCCCAUAAAGUAAUUAGACUGGUUUGAACUCAUUUAAUUCUUAAUAUUUCCAUUUUUGAAUAAAUAUUUCAUGCAUUGCUCUUCUGGGAGGCAAAGAUCCAGGAAAUUUCAGCAAUAAUGUGUGUAUAGAAUUUCUUUUUCCCCACAGUAGCACAUUUUGAAAGAUAUUUCAACAGGUUAUGACAAGUAGAACAGGAAAAUAUUAUUUUAAUUUCCCUGGGUCAAUUAUUAGAAUUACUGAAAAAUAUACUUAAAUCACACUUUAUCAGUGUGAUCCACUCUGAGGAGGAGGGUACGUAAAAAAGGACUGGAUUGGUUUAUCAUAAUUAAGUUUGUGCCCAAAAUGCCAAAAGAAAUCAAAUGUAUUGGACUCAUCUGUCUUGCAGCCAUUGAAUAUAACCGUGAAAAGGGGGAUUGAGCCUGUCUAAAUGUGGCAUGCUGCUAUAAAGCAGGUGGUAAAAUCUAAAGAAAAUUUAAAACAAAGUACAUCUUAUGAGCUAUGUUCCUAAAUUUUCCCUUCAGAAACAGAUGUCACAUAAUAAACCGUAAUAAAAACUUUGAACAUGUACAAGGACAUUUUGAAUAAUUAGAAAUUUAUUUUAGUCAUUAAGUUUGAUGAUAACUACAGGGCUCUUCCCUAAUUCCUCUCCUUCUAAGCAGAACAAGAGAGGUAGAAAUGGGGUCAGGUUAGGGGCAACAUGAUCUAUGUGCAAAGGUGGGUGAUCAACUCAUCACAGUUUGCCUGGAACUUCCCUAGUUUUAGCUCUUACUACCUUGUAUCCCAGAAAACUCCUAUGUUCUUGGAAAACUUGGACAACUGGUCACCCUAGGCACAGGCUGGCUCUCUUAUUGGGUAAUGACACCCCGUUAUUAAGGAUAGUACACUGAGGUUGAAUGGCCAUUUCUCUGCAUGAGGUGGUUCAAUCUCUAAUGAACUUUAGAGGCUGACUGGCUGCAAUUCUCUUUCUCUAAACAAAUAAAUCCUUACCUCACGAAGCUAAAUACCUAAUUAUAGUCAUAUAAAACAGCAUGUACUUGUACAAAUUUCUAUUUUAGCUAAACUUUAAAAUAAAGGUGGAUGAAUUUAUGAAUUCUUAACAGUUGAUCGUUGCUUUUAAUGCUCUAUUUGACAAAUUCACUCCCUGUCAAAAGAUGUACAGUCAUUUGGUGUUUCAAUUUCCUCAUCUUGUACCAAUAUAUAUAUAUUUUUGCUUUUGUUGGUAAGAGGACUA